CAAAGUAAUAAAAUAACAGAUUUUAUCUUUGAAAUAUCACAAUGACAUCUCAUCCCUCCUUUAACUGUGCUGUUUGAACUCUAAACCUGCACGGAUUUUUUUUUUUUAUUCCUUCACAUUCGCCUGGCACUUGAAUUACUCUGAAUUUUUAUAAGCGUGUAAUGCAAUAUUAAUCAAGGUUUGCCGCUAUAAGAUGCAAUACUUUCAGUCGGCAUUCGGGGUUUUCAGAGGAAGUGGGCAUGUGGAGGACGUCGUUUGUAUAACAGCAGCGAAAGCUUCUCGUUCUUGUUUUCUGUAGAUUUUUUUUGGGCCAAAUUGGACAGAAGAGGAAGCGGCUCGUCAAAUGGAAGGCCCAAGCUUGCCGUCUUCCAGCGCCGCAGGGCAUGGAGCUAGCCAGCGAGACUCAACAAAAAUGAGUGAACAUCCAGAACCGGAAGUGAAUCCUUGAGAUUGGACUUCAUAACGACUCGGAGCAAAAAGCCAUUGUUGCUCCGAAAAACAAGAUGGACGUUUGGACUGUUGUGGGCAGCUGUACCUUGUGAGAAAUUUUGAAUUUUCAUCCUUUUUUCCUCUUUCAUAUUGUUUCCAACGUAUUUGGAAAAAAAAAAAUCCUGUU